rnacentral:rRNA from 1 species
UGGGGAAUAUUGCACAAUGGGCGCAAGCCUGAUGCAGCCAUGCCGCGUGUAUGAAGAAGGCCUUCGGGUUGUAAAGUACUUUCAGUCGGGAGGAAGGUGUCAAGGUUAAUAACCUUGGCAAUUGACGUUACCGACAGAAGAAGCACCGGCUAACUCCGUGCCAGCAGCCGCGGUAAUACGGAGGGUGCAAGCGUUAAUCGGAAUUACUGGGCGUAAAGCGCACGCAGGCGGUUGAUUGAGUCAGAUGUGAAAUCCCCGGGCUUAAACCGGGAAUUGCAUCUGAGACUGGUCAGCUAGAAUCUUGUAGAGGGUGGUAGAAUUCCAUGUGUAGCGAUGAAAUGCGUAGAGAUGUGGAGGAAUACCGGUGGCGAAGGCGGCCCCCAGGACAAAGACUGACGCUCAGGUGCGAAAGCGUGGGGAGCAAACAGG